UUCCAUCUCAUAUUUAUUAAAGUAUCAAAAACACAAAAACCUCAUAAUAGAAAACAACGGUAAUAAAGUACCUGAUAAAUCAGAACAUACAUUAAAACAUGCAAUUCCUCUCACAUCUGUAAUAUCGUGAGCGCUUGUAAAACUUAGUACCACAACGAUAAUUGAUCCUGCAGAUGUUACACAAGUGAAAAAAAACAAAACAUAAUAAUAAUAAUAAUAUAUUUAUACAUAUAUAGUGCUAACAUGAUUAACAUACAUGCCAGUAAACGCCUGGAAAUAACAAAAGCCAAGGAAACAAAAAAUAAUACACGACGUGACGCCUGCGUCACACGUAAUAGAUACGGACAGGUUCUAUAUAGACCGUGGGAACCAGAGCGGUCAAUGACGAGCCUGGGGGCGACGUCCCCCCACAGCUUCCCUGUUCCAUUCGUUCUAAACCAUCCGCUGUUCCAUAGCAAAUCAGACUGCAGAGUUUGCACGCCCCCAAUCCGGUUUUCCUCUCUGCAAUGUGAUUGGCUGAGCUGUAGUGCACGCCCGCACCUAUUUGCACCCAAAAACGUAAGACGCGAAACACAAAGGAAUCUUCAUGUAUCAAAAACCGAUAUGCCAAUCUGAAUUGGUCAGACUGGUUGCCGCGGGUAACUGCUUUUUUUUUUUUUUGCCUUUAUUCACAAGACCUUUGGCUUCAGCGUGAAACGGGAACUAGGCAAUUACGUUUGGUAAGGGUAAGGCAGGAUAUGAACUCUUUACCGGCUGCCGGUCAGGGUCAAAGUGGCGCAGUUAAAGGGGUGGCAUAACAUGAUGGAUAACUGAGCUGCAAUACAAAAAAAAUGGCCUAUAGAGGCGCUGUUUCGGGGGGGAUACACUUUUUUCAUCUCAGACAACCCCUUUAGGAUACAUCCCUGUGCAAAAACCGCCGACAUCGCAUUACAAGUCUCUGACCACUGAAAUAAUUCUUGUCCGUACUGUGAGCAGCUAGGUAGGUGUCGACUCAACCGCAGCAAUACCAUGCACAACCUGAGGACAGGGGCGGCGCUGUUUUGAGAACUGCCUCGCGUAUCGCCUGCAAACAUACGGCUACACAAAUCCCGCGUGAAUAUAAUAAAAUAGUUCAUUUCGUUCCAGUUUAAAGCCGCCAUCCCCAUCGAAAAAGAACAAUAAAAACUUCCAUCUAACAUGUACUAAUACCGCAGUUCUGUUACAGAAUAUAAAGAGCUCAUACAUGUCAGGGCGGCACAUGGGGCCCCGCGGGGGGGUGGGGGUGGGGGGGGUCAUGGCGAUUCUUUGAGGUAAUUUCGGCUUUGUCAGCCUCACACAUGAAUGGAAAGACGCCGCAGGAUACGUGAAAUGUUGCGCAGAAUCUCUGAAGAUCUGGAUAUUGCUGAGAAAUUAAAUCUGGAUCCUCCCUUUAUAUCGGGCCUGGCCUGCUGACUAACGCGAGCCCCAGCUGGGAGUUGUAGUCCAUCAGAACUAAUACUUAUUUUUUUUGGGGGGAAAGGAUGAUAUUUAGUUUAAAGGGUAAGCAGCAAUGGGGGGAACAGUUGCCACAUUCAGCAGAGACAGUCAGCAAGGGUGCAGGAUCGGUCGCCAUAUUGAAUGGAGACCGUCAGCAAGGAAACCCAUCAAAGAAGUGAAAGGUCUAUGGGGAUCUGGGCUGGUAUUAGGGAAAAUGUAGCUCAGACGGGGUCCACUCUUCUCGACAACCUUACCCAUUAAGGAGGGAAUAUCUGACAACUUAACUACUGCAUGUCUAUGGGCAGAUUUAGUGUCGGAGAACUGUCUUUAGUGCACUGCCUGUUCCUUCAUAGCUAAUGUCUCAUUACAUCUGUCCCUGCGUGACUGAAACCAAGCAUUUUCUCUUCAUUAGCAGGACACUUACUGCAUUCUCUACUGGAGAUAUAUAUAUAUGUAUGUAGCAGAGCUGAAUUUGUCAGAUGUAGCAGAGGCAAUCUGUGGUUUUCAACUACUGCAUAAUUGCCAACAGUCCCAAAUUUGCAGGGACUGAACAAAAUUUUUAGAAACAGUCCCUGCAGGAAUUCAGGGGGUCCUAGGUCGAAAUGGAUGGGGCUUACGUAAGUACUGCCCUAUAAUUUGGUGGUUGUGU